rnacentral:rRNA from 1 species
AUUGAACGCUGGCGGCAGGCUUAACACAUGCAAGUCGAGCGAGCGGCGGACGGGUGAGUCAUGUCUGGGAAACUGCCUGAUGGAGGGGGAUAACUACUGGAAACGGUAGCUAAUCCCGCAUACCAUCAGAUUUUCCUAGCUGGGAUUAGCUAGUAGGUGGGGUAAUGGCUCACCUAGGCGACGAUCCCUAGCUGGUCUGAGAGGAUGACCAGCCAUACGGGAACGGAGACACGGGCCAGACUCCUACGGGAGGCAGCAGUGGGGAAUAUUGCACAAUGGGCGCAAGCCUGAUGCAGCCAGGCCGCGUGGAUGAAGAAGGCCUUCGGGUGGUAAAGUACUUUCAGCGAGGAGGCGUUACUCGCAGAAGAAGCACCGGCUAACUCCGUGCCAGCAGCCGCGGUAAUUC